UCGGGCACUAGACAGUGGCGCACGGGUGAGUAACGCGUGGGGACCUACCUUUUAGUACGGAACAACAGUUGGAAACGACUGCUAAUACCGUAUGUGCCCUUAGGGGGAAAGAUUUAUCGCUAAGAGAUGGACCCGCGUUGGAUUAGAUAGUUGGUGAGGUAAUGGCUCACCAAGUCUACGAUCCAUAGCUGGUUUGAGAAGAUGACCAGCCACAUUGGGACUGAGACACGGCCCAGACUCC
rnacentral:rRNA from 1 species